CACAAGCCUUGUUGAAGUACAUGACCUCAUUCAGAUUUCAUUUUCGGGGUGGACGGGUUCUUAGGUGACAGAGCCAUAGAUGUUAAGAUCCACACCAAGAUGAACAUUGUUGGGAUUAAGUUGCUUAGUAUUACAAUGCUGGCUUUGGUGAGGGCCCUGUGAGGGUGGUUACUAUUGUUUUGAUCAUUUGAAAAAGAAAGUGGAAAUUAUGGUGAGUAUAACAAGAAUACUGUGGAGCUCAAGUUUCUUUGAAAGAAUUAACUCCCCCAGGAAAUAACUUCUCAAACUCUGGCAAGUUUUUUGAAACAAACAUUCCUUUGAGAACUUUGCCACUAGAAUUUCAUUGUAAUGAGAAAAUUUAGUUUAGAUAAAACCACCUAUGGUAAGUUUUUAAUGAGAGUAUUUUACAAAUAGAAAUGGAAAUGUGGGGUUGUCACUUAAUUGUUACACCUUCACAAGGCUAAACCCAUGACACGGGCAUUUGUUGGAAUGUGGUAUAGUAAGUCACACCACCAGCUCAUUAUCUAGAAAGAAAACAAAUUUGUAUUUGACCCAAUCAAAUGAGCAGUUUAUCUUCACCUUAGUUUUAGAUUGAGGUAAUUAAGAAGUGAUAGUUGUGGGCUGGGGAUGUAGCUCAGUUGGUAGAGUGUUUGCUUUGCAUGCACAAGGCCUUGAGUUUAAUCCCCAGCAUAAAUAGAUAGGUAGAUAGUAAAGCUUUCAAUGCUCUGCAGAGGACUUUUGGACCUGGAGUUGUUAGAAGUGGAUCUCCAGUUGAAGGACUUUUGAAAAGCCUUUUAGUGCAACAGCAGGUUGAAAUUGGUAAAUUUAGUCUAAUGGAAAGAUACUAAAGGAAACUUAAAGGCAGAGCUUCCAAUGGAAUAACAAGGAGAGGCUAAGGUUAUAUGAAGAAAUGAGUGCCUUAUGGAGGGUUAAGGGAGGAAACAACUGCAUGUUCUAAUUAAUGUUUAGGGGUAAAAGAUCCGGUCUAGUUGGGGUUUAUUUGUUUGUGGUUCCUUGUAUGUAUUAGGCAAGUGCUCUAUCACAGCUGCAUAUCUAGUCCCAAUCAAUUUUUUUUUAACAGC
rnacentral:lncRNA from 1 species